rnacentral:rRNA from 1 species
CACGUAGUUAGCCGUGGCUUAUUCAAGAGGUACCGUCUUCUGCUCUUCCCUCUUAAAAAGAAGUUUACAACCCGAAAGCCUUCUUCCUUCACGCGGCGUUGCUGGGUCAGGCUUGCGCCCAUUGCCCAAUAUUCCCCCACUGCUGCCUCCCGUAGGAGUCUGGGCCGUAUCUCAGUCCCAAUGUGGCCGGUCAACCUCUCAGUCCGGCUACUGAUCGUCGCCUAGGUGGGCCGUUACCCCGCCUACUAGCUAAUCAGACGCGAGGCCAUCUUCCAGCGAUAAAUCUUUGACAUUCAAACCAUGCGAUUCAAAUGUGUCAUGCGGUAUUAGCAGUCGUUUCCAACUGUUGUCCCCCUCUGGAAGGCAGGUUCCUCACGCGUUACUCACCAGUCCGCCACUAAGCAUUCCUCUCCAUUGUCCGAAAACUCUUUCAAGGGUGCUCCGUUCGACUUGCAUGUGUUAAGCACGCCGUCCAGCGUCGUCCUGUCGCCGACGUAGUCGUAAACCUACUACUCGUAAC